GAUGAAGAACGUAGUGAAAUGCGAUAAGUAAUGUGAAUUGCAGAAUUCAGUGAAUCAUCGAAUCUUUGAACGCACAUUGCGCCCCUUGGUAUCCCGAGGGGCAUGCCUGUUCGAGCGUCAUUUCACCACUCAAGCCUGGCUUGGUGUUGGGCGACGUCCUCUUUGGGGACGCGCCUCGAAACGCUCGGCGGCGUGGCACCGGCUUUAAGCGUAGCAGAAUCUUUCGCUUUGGAAGUCGGGGCCCCGUCUGCCGGAAGACCUGCUCGCAAGGUUGACCUCGGAUCAGGCAGGGAUACCCGCUGAACUUAAGCAUAUCAAUAAGCGGAGGA
rnacentral:misc_RNA from 1 species